UCAACAUCAGGGGAAACGAGUUCUCUCAGAGUUCUUUGGUCAACCAUGUUAAACUCAAUAGAAAAGGAAAAAAAAAUUAACAAACAAUGAGAAAACACAACUAAUUCAGCAAUGCAACAACAAAUAAGAAAAUACCGGCAAUGUCCCUAUUAAGUAAAAACAAUUGAAAUACAAAAAAAUGAUUAAAAUGAAAUACAAAAAAAU
rnacentral:lncRNA from 1 species